AUGAUUCUCAAAGGAUGUGCUGRCAAUUUAUAAUUGUAUGUGCACUCUGACUCUCAUUCACCUGUGCACAUUCUGUAGACAAUGGAUAGUAAUGCUAUUUUAUUGUCUAUGAUUUUAUACACUCUAUUAAAUAAAAUUGGAUGUUUUAUAAAAUUAAUA
rnacentral:misc_RNA from 1 species